rnacentral:rRNA from 1 species
UACGGAGGAUCCAAGCGUUAUCCGGAUUUAUUGGGGUUAAAGGGUGCGUAGGCGGCUUUUUAAGUCAGGGGUGAAAGACGGUAGCUUAACUAUCGCAGUGCCCUUGAUACUGAAGAGCUUGAAUAUACUUGAGGUAGGCGGAAUGUGACAAGUAGCGGUGAAAUGCAUAGAUAUGUCACAGAACACCAAUUGCGAAGGCAGCUUACUAAGGUAUGAUUGACGCUGAGGCACGAAAGCGUGGGGAUCAAACAGG